UCCUACGGGAGGCAGCAGUAAGGAAUAUUGGUCAAUGGACGCAAGUCUGAACCAGCCAUGCCGCGUGAAGGAUUAAGGUCCUCUGGAUUGUAAACUUCUUUUAUCUGGGACGAAAAAAGGCGAUUCUUCGUCACUUGACGGUACCAGAUGAAUAAGCACCGGCUAACUCCGUGCCAGCAGCCGCGGUAAUACGGAGGGUGCAAGCGUUAUCCGGAUUCACUGGGUUUAGAGGGUGCGUAGGCGGGCAGGUAAGUCAGUGGUGAAAUCCUGGAGCUUAACUCCAGAACUGCCAUUGAUACUAUCUGUCUUGAAUAUUGUGGAGAUAAGCGGAAUAUGUCAUGUAGCGGUGAAAUGCUUAGAUAUGACAUAGAACACCUAUUGCGAAGGCAGCUUACUACGCAUAUAUUGACGCUGAGGCACGAAAGCGUGGGGAUCAAACAGGAUUAGAUACCCCAGUAGUCCAAGCCG
rnacentral:rRNA from 1 species